rnacentral:rRNA from 1 species
GGGUUGUGAGGUUAAGCGACUAAGCGUACACGGUGGAUGCCCUGGCAGUCAGAGGCGAUGAAGGACGUGCUAAUCUGCGAAAAGCGCCGGCGAGGUGAUAUGAACCUUUGACCCGGCGAUGUCCGAAUGGGGAAACCCAGUGCAAUUCGUUGCACUAUCGUUAACUGAAUACAUAGGUUAACGAGGCGAACCGGGGGAACUGAAACAUCUAAGUACCCCGAGGAAAAGAAAUCAACCGAGAUUCCCCCAGUAGCGGCGAGCGAACGGGGAGCAGCCCAGAGUCUGAAUCAGCUUGUGUGUUAGUGGAAGCGUCUGGAAAGUCGCACGGUACAGGGUGACAGUCCCGUACACGAAAGCACACAGGCUGUGAACUCGAAGAGUAGGGCGGGACACGUGGUAUCCUGUCUGAAUAUGGGGGGACCAUCCUCCAAGGCUAAAUACUCCUGACUGACCGAUAGUGAACCAGUACCGUGAGGGAAAGGCGAAAAGAACCCCGGCGAGGGGAGUGAAAAAGAACCUGAAACCGUGUACGUACAAGCAGUGGGAGCACCUUCGUGGUGUGACUGCGUACCUUUUGUAUAAUGGGUCAGCGACUUAUAUUCUGUAGCAAGGUUAACCGUAUAGGGGAGCCGAAGGGAAACCGAGUCUUAACUGGGCGUUAAGUUGCAGGGUAUAGACCCGAAACCCGGUGAUCUAGCCAUGGGCAGGUUGAAGGUUGGGUAACACUAACUGGAGGACCGAACCGACUAAUGUUGAAAAAUUAGCGGAUGACUUGUGGCUGGGGGUGAAAGGCCAAUCAAACCGGGAGAUAGCUGGUUCUCCCCGAAAGCUAUUUAGGUAGCGCCUCGUGAACUCAUCUUCGGGGGUAGAGCACUGUUUCGGCUAGGGGGCCAUCCCGGCUUACCAACCCGAUGCAAACUACGAAUACCGAAGAAUGUUAUCACGGGAGACACACGGCGGGUGCUAACGUCCGUCGUGAAGAGGGAAACAACCCAGACCGCCAGCUAAGGUCCCAAAGUCAUGGUUAAGUGGGAAACGAUGUGGGAAGGCACAGACAGCCAGGAUGUUGGCUUAGAAGCAGCCAUCAUUUAAAGAAAGCGUAAUAGCUCACUGGUCGAGUCGGCCUGCGCGGAAGAUGUAACGGGGCUAAACCAUGCACCGAAGCUGCGGCAGCGACGCGUAUGCGUUGUUGGGUAGGGGAGCGUUCUGUAAGCCGUUGAAGGUGUGCUGUGAGGCAUGCUGGAGGUAUCAGAAGUGCGAAUGCUGACAUAAGUAACGAUAAAGCGGGUGAAAAGCCCGCUCGCCGGAAGACCAAGGGUUCCUGUCCAACGUUAAUCGGGGCAGGGUGAGUCGACCCCUAAGGCGAGGCCGAAAGGCGUAGUCGAUGGGAAACAGGUUAAUAUUCCUGUACUUGGUGUUACUGCGAAGGGGGGACGGAGAAGGCUAUGUUAGCCGGGCGACGGUUGUCCCGGUUUAAGCAUGUAGGCGGAGGUUCCAGGUAAAUCCGGUACCUUUUAAACGCUGCGGNNNNNNNNNNNNNNNNNNNNNNNNNNNNNNNNNNNNNNNNNNNNNNNNNNNNNNNNNNNNNNNNNNNNNNNNNNNNNNNNNNNNNACCUUUUUAACGCUGAGGUGUGAUGACGAGGCACUACGGUGCUGAAGUAACAAAUGCCCUGCUUCCAGGAAAAGCCUCUAAGCAUCAGGUAACACGAAAUCGUACCCCAAACCGACACAGGUGGUCAGGUAGAGAAUACCAAGGCGCUUGAGAGAACUCGGGUGAAGGAACUAGGCAAAAUGGUGCCGUAACUUCGGGAGAAGGCACGCUGAUAUGUAGGUGAAGCCCCUGCGGGUGGAGCUGAAAUCAGUCGAAGAUACCAGCUGGCUGCAACUGUUUAUUAAAAACACAGCACUGUGCAAACACGAAAGUGGACGUAUACGGUGUGACGCCUGCCCGGUGCCGGAAGGUUAAUUGAUGGGGUUAGCGGCAACGCGAAGCUCUUGAUCGAAGCCCCGGUAAACGGCGGCCGUAACUAUAACGGUCCUAAGGUAGCGAAAUUCCUUGUCGGGUAAGUUCCGACCUGCACGAAUGGCGUAAUGAUGGCCAGGCUGUCUCCACCCGAGACUCAGUGAAAUUGAACUCGCUGUGAAGAUGCAGUGUACCCGCGGCAAGACGGAAAGACCCCGUGAACCUUUACUAUAGCUUGACACUGAACACUGGUCCUUGAUGUGUAGGAUAGGUGGGAGGCUUUGAAGCGUGGACGCCAGUCUGCGUGGAGCCGUCCUUGAAAUACCACCCUUUAAUGGCUGGUGUUCUAACGUAGACCCGUAAUCCGGGUUGCGGACAGUGUCUGGUGGGUAGUUUGACUGGGGCGGUCUCCUCCCAAAGAGUAACGGAGGAGCACGAAGGUUAGCUAAUCCUGGUCGGACAUCAGGAGGUUAGUGCAAUGGCAUAAGCUAGCUUGACUGCGAGAGUGACGGCUCGAGCAGGUGCGAAAGCAGGUCAUAGUGAUCCGGUGGUUCUGAAUGGAAGGGCCAUCGCUCAACGGAUAAAAGGUACUCCGGGGAUAACAGGCUGAUACCGCCCAAGAGUUCAUAUCGACGGCGGUGUUUGGCACCUCGAUGUCGGCUCAUCACAUCCUGGGGCUGAAGUAGGUCCCAAGGGUAUGGCUGUUCGCCAUUUAAAGUGGUACGCGAGCUGGGUUUAGAACGUCGUGAGACAGUUCGGUCCCUAUCUGCCGUGGGCGCUGGAGAAUUGAGGGGGGCUGCUCCUAGUACGAGAGGACCGGAGUGGACGCAUCACUGGUGUUCGGGUUGUCAUGCCAAUGGCACUGCCCGGUAGCUAAAUGCGGAAAAGAUAAGUGCUGAAAGCAUCUAAGCACGAAACUUGCCCCGAGAUGAGUUCUCCCUGACCCUUUAAGGGUCCUGAAGGAACGUUGAAGACGACGACGUUGAUAGGUCGGGUGUGUAAGCGCAGCGAUGCGUUGAGCUAACCGAUACUAAUGAACCGUGAGGCUUAACCUUACAACGCCGAAGCUGUU